rnacentral:rRNA from 1 species
CUUGCAAUCCGCUGACGACCGGCGCACGGGUGCGUAACGCGUAUGCAACCUACCUUCUACAGGGGGAUAGUCAAUAGAAAUGUUGAAUAAUACCCCAUACGAUCUUUGAAUAGCAUUAUUUAAAGAAGAAAGUUCCGGCGGUAGAAGAUGGGCAUGCGUCCUAUUAGUUAGUUGGAGAGGUAACGGCUCCCCAAGACAUCGAUGGGUAGGGGUCCUGAGAGGGAGACCCCCCACACUGGUACUGAGACACGGACCAGACUCCUACGGGAGGCAGCAGUGAGGAAUAUUGGACAAUGGAGGCAACUCUGAUCCAGCCAUGCCGCGUGCAGGAAGACUGCCCUAUGGGUUGUAAACUGCUUUUAUACAGGAAGAAAUGUACCUACGUGUAGGUAUUUGACGGUACUGUACGAAUAAGGAUCGGCUAACUCCGUGCCAGCAGCCGCGGUAAUACGGAGGAUCCAAGCGUUAUCCGGAAUCAUUGGGUUUAAAGGGUCCGUAGGCGGUCUUUUAAGUCAGAGGUGAAAUCCUACAGCUCAACUGUAGAAUUGCCUUUGAUACUGAAGGACUUGAGUUAUUG